rnacentral:rRNA from 1 species
UACGUAGGGGCUAGCGUUGUCCGGAAUCAUUGGGCGUAAAGAGCGCGUAGGCGGCCCGGUAAGUCCGCUGUAAAAGUCCAGGGCUCAACCCUGGAAAGCCGGUGGAUACUGUCGGGCUCGAGUCCGGAAGAGGCGAGUGGAAUUCCUGGUGUAGCGGUGGAAUGCGCAGAUAUCAGGAGGAACACCAUGGCGAAGGCAGCUCGCUGGGACGGUACUGACGCUGAGACGCGAAAGCGUGGGGAGCGAACAGG